UGUGGUUCGGGGUUCCUUUGGUUCUUUUGUGGGUUUUUCUGUGCAUACACUCACCUUUCACGACAGAUGGCGCCAUACUCACCCGACUGGAGUGUGUGUGUAGACCGCCAUCAAGCACACCUGAACCUGAUCAACUCAUCAGCGGCGUAUACUAAAGGAGGCUCCUGCCAGUCCUUCAGCACCCGAGUGUUAGCCAGACACGGUACCUCUGAGCCUCCUAGAACUAGCCUCUAAUCUUUCCUCGUUGAUCUGAAUCCUCGUUGACCUUAAUUCCCCAGUGACUUUUUCCUGUUGUUUUCUGCCUUCAGGUUUUUCCCUCCGGAGAAGCCCUUACGGAUCCUGUCUGCUUCUCUGAUCGAGAUUCCCCUCGUGACGCCGUGGGUCCUACCCACUGGUUGCCCGAGUUCCCAGACUCACCUCCUCAGUCUGAUUACAAGUUCCCCCCCCGGAUUCCACAACUGGCAGUUGCACCGCUCCUUUGUCCCCGCCAAGCCCGAGCCUAUCUGUCCGCCCUCCGACGCACUCCCCCGUUUCCUUCCUGGACACCAGCCGUCAGGCACAGGACCACCUGGACCACUUAAAAGACAAAGACCCCGAACCUCCCAGUAAACCCUCCUGGAUCUCACACCAUCGAACCACAAAGAGCCGAUCGCUCCGUGAACCCGUUUCCUCCCUGGACCAGACCAGAGCUUCCACACCCUUUACUUGUCGUUUCACAAUAAACCAAUUACCGUACAUACCUCUCCUGUAUUGUGUUCUGCAUGUGGGUCUGAAAAUAGUAAAUCCAUCAUGACA